rnacentral:rRNA from 1 species
UACGUAGGUGGCGAGCGUUGUCCGGAAUUACUGGGUGUAAAGGGAGCGUAGGCGGGAAGACAAGUUGAAUGUUUAAACUAUCGGCUUAACCGGUAGUCGCGUUCAAAACUGUUUUUCUUGAGUGAAGUAGAGGCAGGCGGAAUUCCUAGUGUAGCGGUGAAAUGCGUAGAUAUUAGGAGGAACACCAGUGGCGAAGGCGGCCUGCUGGGCUUUAACUGACGCUGAGGCUCGAAAGCGUGGGUAGCAAACAGG